UUGUGUUCCUUGUAACAAGGACAUGAGUUGCUCAGAGACCACCCUAUCUAAGACUUUAGACAAGAAUGGAAGUUUUGAUAUUGGUCUAAAGUUUUUAGGAUCUGUAGGGUCCAGGUUUGGUUUUUUGAGAAGAGGUUCCACAAAAGCAUGUUUAAAAAAGCUGGG